rnacentral:tRNA from 1 species
CUCGUCGUAGCUCAGUGGUAGAGCGCCCGGCUCGGGCCCGGCGCCGGUUCGAGCCCGGCCGGCGGGG